CCUACGGGUGGCUGCAGUGAGGAAUAUUGGUCAAUGGACGCGAGUCUGAACCAGCCAUGUCGCGUGCAGGAAGACUGCCCUAUGGGUUGUAAACUUCUUUUGUAUGAGAGUAAAAGCAUCCACGCGUGUCAUUUUGUAAGUACCAUAUGAAUAAGGAUCGGCUAACUCCGUGCCAGCAGCCGCGGUAAUACGGAGGAUCCAAGCGUUAUCCGGAUUUAUUGGGUUUAAAGGGUGCGUAGGUGGUUGGUUAAGUCAGUGGUGAAAGUGUGAGUCUCAACCGCAAAAUUGCAGUUGAAACUGUCAGUCUAGAGUACAGUAGAGGUGGGCGGAAUGUGUGGUGUAGCGGUGAAAUGCUUAGAGAUCAUGAAGAACUCCGAUUGCGAAGGCAGCUCACCGGACUGCAACUGACAUUGAGGCUCGAAAGUGUGGGUAGCAAACAGGAUUAGAUACCCUAGUAGUC
rnacentral:rRNA from 1 species